CUAGACUCCUACGGGAGGCAGCAGUGGGGAAUAUUGCACAAUGGGGGAAACCCUGAUGCAGCGACGCCGCGUGAGUGAAGAAGUAUUUCGGUAUGUAAAGCUCUAUCAGCAGGGAAGAAAAUGACAGUACCUGACCAAGAAGCCCCGGCUAACUACGUGCCAGCAGCCGCGGUAAUACGUAGGGGGCAAGCGUUAUCCGGAUUUACUGGGUGUAAAGGGAGCGUAGACGGUUAUGUAAGUCUGGAGUGAAAGCCCGGGGCCCAACCCCGGGACUGCUUUGGAACCUGUGCAGCUAGAGUGCAGGAGAGGUAAGUGGAAUUCCUAGUGUAGCGGUGAAAUGCGUAGAUAUUAGGAGGAACACCAGUGGCGAAGGCGGCUUACUGGACUGUAACUGACGUUGAGGCUCGAAAGCGUGGGGAGCAAACAGGAUUAGAUACCCGUGUACU
rnacentral:rRNA from 1 species